AUGUGGAAUAAAUCAAAAGCUUGGUGGUGAUGGUAGGGCCGUUUUCGGCGGACAACCACACUAACGUAUUGUUUCCAAAGACCAUUUUGAGCUUCAAAGUCUAUGGACUAGUGCCCCUGGAGCGGUGGGAAAACCUGUGGAUAGUUUCCGCCUCAACGCUGCAGCCGCAUUUAUCCACAGAUUCUCCCGCAUUUGGCCCCAACUCAUCCACGCUUUUUUCCAAGCCGG
rnacentral:sRNA from 1 species